GGGGUGGGGGGCUGUGGAGGUCACUUAAGGGGGCAGAGUGCUGUUGAGUUCACUGUUAUGGGAGAUACUGUCGGUAUCUUUUAACAACGCACACAAACAUUAAAUGAAAUAGUGGAAAUAUACCAGUGCGAAGCCGGGUCAUCCUGUUAGUAUAUAUACAUGUAUGUGUGCAUAUUAAAAUCACCCCCCUUUCACCAAAAUCAAAAUUAAAAGUAUAUAACCAAUAAAAAAAAAUACACAUCAUGGGCAUCGCUCUGUGC